UCCGGUUCUUCACCAGCAGUCUCCUUAGAGUCCCCAACUAAAUGAUGGCAACUAAGGAUAAGGGUUGCGCUCGUUACGGGACUUAACCCAACAUCUCACAACACGAGCUGACGACAGCCAUGCAGCACCUGUGUUCAGGUUCCUUUCGGCACGUUCGCAUCUCUGCAAACUUCCUGACAUGUCAAGGGUAGGUAAGGUUCUUCGCGUUGCAUCGAAUUAAACCACAUGCUCCACCGCUUGUGCGGGCCCCCGUCAAUUCCUUUGAGUUUUAACCUUGCGGCCGUACUCCCCAGGCGGAAAACUUAUCGCGUUAGCUUCGAUACUAAUAGGUCAUGCCUACCAACAUCUAGUUUUCAUCGUUUACAGCGUGGACUAC
rnacentral:misc_RNA from 1 species